CCCAGACUCCUACGGGAGGCAGCAGUGGGGAAUAUUGGGCAAUGGGCGCAAGCCUGACCCAGCAACGCCGCGUGAAGGAAGAAGGCUUUCGGGUUGUAAACUUCUUUUAAGAGGGACGAAGGAAGUGACGGUACCUCUUGAAUAAGCCACAGCUAACUACGUGCCAGCAGCCGCGGUAAUACGUAGGUGGCAAGCGUUAUCCGGAUUUAUUGGGUGUAAAGGGCGUGUAGGCGGGAGCGCAAGUCAGAUGUGAAAACUCAGGGCUCAACCCUGAGCCUGCAUUUGAAACUGUGUUUCUUGAGUGCUGGAGAGGCAAUCGGAAUUCCGUGUGUAGCGGUGAAAUGCGUAGAUAUACGGAGGAACACCAGUGGCGAAGGCGGAUUGCUGGACAGUAACUGACGCUGAGGCGCGAAAGCGUGGGGAGCAAACAGGAUUAGAUACCCCCGUA
rnacentral:rRNA from 1 species